GUCCUUAAGAAAGAAUUUAAGGUCUAACCUGCCCAUUGAGGAAUUAAAAGGCCGCAGUAUUUUGACUGUGCAAAGGUAGCAUAAUCAUUAGUUUUUUAAUUGAAAGCUUGUAUGAAUGGUUGGACGAGAUAUAAUCUGUCUUUAAAUUAUAAAUAGAAUUUGUUUUUUGAGUUAAAAAUCUUAAAUAUAAUUAAUAGACGAGAAGACCCUAUAGAUCUUUAUAUAUUUUUUUAUAUAAAAUUUUUGGAUUAUUAAUUUUUAUAUAGGGGAUUAUAUUUAAUUGGGGUAAUUAAAAGAUUCAAAUAAUUCUUUUUUAUAUAAACUUAAAUUUGAGGGGUUUUAGAUCCAAUAUUAUUGAUUAUAAGAUUAAGUUACCUUAGGGAUAACAGCGUAAUUUUUUUAAAGAGUUCUUAUCGAUAAAAAAGUUUGCGACCUCGAUGUUGGAUUAAAAUUAAUUUUAGGUGUAGAAGUUUAAAGUUUUAGUCUGUUCGACUAUUAAAAUUUU
rnacentral:rRNA from 1 species